CGGGUAAGUCUUAUACGACCAGCUCCUGUCGAACUCCCCCAGGGCCGGAAGGCAGCAAGGGUAGAUGGUCGAGCGGUGCGAUAUAAGUAGCUUACCCU
rnacentral:SRP_RNA from 1 species